rnacentral:rRNA from 1 species
UACAGAGGUCUCAAGCGUUGUCCGGAAUUAUUGGGCGUAAAGAGCGUGUAGGCGGCCAUGUAGGUCCGUUGUGAAAACUCGAGGCUCAACCUCGAGACGCCGAUGGAAACCAUGUGGCUAGAGUCCGGAAGAGGAGAGUGGAAUUCCUGGUGUAGCGGUGAAAUGCGCAGAUAUCAGGAAGAACACCCGUGGCUAAGGCGGCUCUCUAGUACGGUACUGACGCUGAGACGCGAAAGCGUGGGGAGCGAACAGG